UUCUACGGCCAUACCACCCUUAACGCACCCAAUCUCAUCUGAUCUCGGAAGCUAAGCAGGGUCGAGCCUGGUUAGUACUUGGAUGGGAGAAACACAGCAUGAAGUUUUUAAAA
ensembl:rRNA 5S_rRNA 5S ribosomal RNA